CAGCCGCCGCGGUAAUACGAAGGGUGCAAGCGUUAAUCGGAAUUACUGGGCGUAAAGAGCUCGUAGGCGGUUUGUCGCGUCUGCCGUGAAAGUCCGGGGCUCAACCCCGGAUCUGCGGUGGGUACGGGCAGACUAGAGUGAUGUAGGGGAGACUGGAAUUCCUGGUGUAGCGGUGAAAUGCGCAGAUAUCAGGAGGAACACCGAUGGCGAAGGCAGGUCUCUGGGCAUUAACUGACGCUGAGGCACGAAAGCGUGGGGAGCAAACAGGAUUAGAUACCCCUGUAGUCCCUGUCUCUUAUAC
rnacentral:rRNA from 1 species